rnacentral:lncRNA from 1 species
CUUUCUGAGGCUGGGGUCUGUGGUUUCCUCCUGCGGGCCCCCGCAGGCAGCCUCUGCCCUCUCCCACAAUGCACUGCAGCAUGGCCACCCCUGAGUCUGUUAACAGCUAUGGAAUUGAAGGGCCCAGAGACUCUUGAGUACGUGUUUCCCAGAUUUACCACACACUCAGGAUUAUCUAGCAUGCUUUCACAAAGGCUAGGAUUCUGAACCCCUGUGCUUUGGAAACUCUCAUUCGGUAGAUGCCAUGUGGAAACUGGGAAUCUGUAUGUUUGACACCCCCCGGGGUGAUUUUUAGACUUUGUCCAGCGAAGUCCGUAUCUCCUGCCUUUCUUUUCUCCCAUGUAACUUGCAGAUAAGAAGAUUGAGCCCCGAAGCUCUACCAGCCUGGGCUUCGAAGCCUGCAGGAAGCCUCCCCAGCCACGCGAGUUCCAGAAACGCGUUCUGUUCAAAUUCCGCCCUCGGCAAUUUCAUUUACUGCCUUCCUACAGUCGUCAAUGUCACCUACUUUUAUCUCUGAACUCUUCUGUUGGUGAUCUGUGUGUCUCGUCUCCUCAAAAAGAUCUGGAGUGUUUUGAGGGCAGAGACCCCGGAUCCGUGGUCUUGGAACCAGGAAGCCAACCGACUCUCUCCCCGAAUAAGUACUUUCCUCUUUAAUGACUAUUUGUCUAGUUGCCUAGCUAUGUCUCUUCUCCCCAGCCUUUCUUGCAAACCCUUUGGGGAGAUGUGGCUUAAGUCAUCACAGGGUUUAGAAAAGUGCUUGGCGGGGCGCCUGGGUGGCUUGGUCGGUUAAGCGUCCGACUUCGGCUCAGGUCAUGAUCGCACGGUCUGUGAGUUCGAGCCCCGCGUCGGGCUCUGUGCUGACAGCUCAGAGCCUGGAGCCUGCUUUGGAUUCUGUCUCCCUCUCUCUCUGCCCCUCCCCUGUUCAUGCUCUGUCUCUCUCUGUCUCAAAAAUAAAUAAACGUUAAAAAAAAUUUAAAAAAAAAUA